AGAGUUUGAUCCUGGCUCAGGAUGAACGCUAGCGGGAGGCUUAACACAUGCAAGCCGAGGGGUAUAUAAUUGCUUGCAAUUAUAGAGACCGGCGGAUGGGUGAGUAACGCGUAUGAAACCUGCCCUAUUCAUCAGGAUAGCCCUAGGAAACUGGGAUUAAUACUGAAUAACACUAAUAUCGGCAUCGAUGUUGGUUAAAAGAUUUAUCGGAAUAGGAUGGUCAUGCGUCAGAUUAGUUAGUUGGUAGGGUAACGGCCUACCAAGGCAAUGAUCUGUAGGGGGCCUGAGAGGGUGAUCCCCCACACUGGUACUGAGACACGGACCAGACUCCUACGGGAGGCAGCAGUGAGGAAUAUUGGACAAUGGGUGAGAGCCUGAUCCAGCCAUCCCGCGUGCAGGAAGAAUGCCUUAUGGGUUGUAAACUGCUUUUAUACAGGAAUAAACCACUUUACGUGUAAGGUGUUGAAGGUACUGUAUGAAUAAGCAUCGGCUAACUCCGUGCAGCAGCCGCGGUAAUACGGAGGAUGCAAGCGUUAUCCGGAUUUAUUGGGUUUAAAGGGUCCGUAGGCGGGCAUAUAAGUCAGAGGUGAAAUCCGACAGCUUAACUGUCGAACUGCCUUUGAAACUGUAUGUCUUGAGUGAGAUUGAAGCAGCUGGAAUGUGUAGUGUAGCGGUGAAAUGCAUAGAUAUUACACAGAACACUGAUAGCGAAGGCAGGUUGCUAAGUCUUUACUGACGCUGAUGGACGAAAGCGUGGGGAGCAAACAGGAUUAGAUACCCUGGUAGUCCACGCCGUAAACGUUGGAUACUGUCUAUUGGAAAUUUUCAGUGGAUAAGCGAAAGUGAUAAGUAUCCCACCUGGGGAGUACGUUCGCAAGAAUGAAACUCAAAGGAAUUGACGG
rnacentral:rRNA from 1 species